CCUGAGAAACGGCUACCACAUCCAAGGAAGGCAGCAGGCACGCAAAUUACCCACUCCCGGCACGGGGAGGUAGUGACAAAAAAUAACGAUACGGGACUCAUCCGAGGCCCCGUAAUCGGAAUGAGUACACUUUAAAUCCUUUAACAAGGAUCCAUUGGAGGGCAAGUCUGGUGCCAGCAGCCGCGGUAAUUCCAGCUCCAAUAGCGUAUAUUAAAGUUGUUGCAGUUANNNNNNNNGUAUUGGUUCUGUGUGCCACGCUGUCGGUUCACCGCCUGCCGGUGUAACUGGCAUGACGUGGGAUGUCCUGUCGGUGGCGGCCGAGGCCCGCGGCGCAGUGUAGGUCUAACCGAAGCUCGCCGCUGUGCGCCCAGUCGCCGAUUCAAUCCUGCCGCGGUGCUCUUCACUGAGUGUCGAGGUAGGCCGACACGUUUACUUUGAACAAAUUAGAGUGCUCAAAGCAGGCUGAAUUCCGCCUGAAUACUGGUGCAUGGAAUAAUGGAAUAGGACCUCGGUUCUAUUUUGUUGGUUUUCGGAAUCCGAGGUAAUGAUCAAUAUGGACAGGCGGGGGCCAUUUCGUAUUGCGACUUGGCAAAUGCUUUCGCGGUGAAAUUCUUGGAUCGUCGCAAGACGGACUAGAGCGAAAGCAUUUGCCAAGUAUGUCUUAGUUGAUCAAGAACGAAAGUUAGAGGUUCGAAGGCGAUCAGAUACCGCCCUAGUUCUAACCAUAAACGAUGCCAGCCAGCGAUCCGCCGAAGUUCCUCCGAUGACUCGGCGGGCAGCUUCCGGGAAACCAAAGCUUUUCGCUUCCGGGGGAAGUAUGGUUGCAAAGCUGAAACUUAAAGGAAUUGACGGAAGGGCACCACCAGGAGUGCAGCCUGCGGCUUAAUUUGACUCAACACGGGAAACCUCACCAGGCCCGGACAUUGGAAGGAUUGACAGAUUGAUAGCUCUUUCUUGAUUCAGUGGGUAGUGGUGCAUGGCCGUUCUUAGUUGGUGGAGCGAUUUGUCUGGUUAAUUCCGAUAACGAACGAGACUC
rnacentral:rRNA from 1 species